AUCUGUUUUACGAUUGGUUAUACUGUCUUGAAUUGGCGAAAUAGAAAAGAAGUCUUCUUUGGUCAUCCUUGUAACAGUAAAUUUAUUUUUACGCCUACAUGACUCCAUGACCUCAAUAUAGUCAUCAGCAGUGUUCAAACGGUUAUGAGUCUUCAAGGCACAUUCAACAUCCCCAAAUUCUGAAUCGUUAGGUAGGUAGGUAUGACCAGGCUGUAAGAAUCUCAAUGUUAUUUUCUUCAAUGUACUAUGUCUUUGUAAAAUAUAUUUCAGCAUGAGAACUAGUUUUAUACUUCUGUUUUGACCCCCGCAUGAGUCAGCCCAGAGGAUCAAAUGGGUCGUUCCAAUUUUUAAAUAAUCUUCAAUAUAUCUCUUGAGGCACGAGCCCACUUCCUGAGUGCCUCGGCCAGACUCAUACUCAACCCAGACAUAAAAAUAGCCUUUUCCGGAGCUACCACUAUGUAUUCCAAGAUUGUGGAGAUUCAACUGACGUUUGUAAUAAACAAUACUCGUGGGAACUUUCGGCAAGCAGUGUGUCUUUUCUAAAUCAAAAGUGAGCGUUUCAAUUUCUGGGUUUGUUUUCGCUGAUUCCAAAUCCUGUUUCAUUUGAUUCCUCAAGUUGUAAGCUCUGUCCAAGUGUUCUUUGUGCUCUUGUUCUGCAGUUGAAGCUUCUGUACUUGUUGAAGCUUGUGAGCUUUUCAAAGCUUUGUAGCGAUCGCAUCGGUAACAAGUAUCUUUCUGAUUCUUUUUAAAACAAAGAUUGAAAUCUUCGUGGAAAACUUUGCUAAAUUUAGACAAACUAACACCACUUGGAUGUUUUUCUUUGUAGAGAUCAUACAGUUUUGCAAUGUUGAGAUUAGGUGCCAAGUACUUUGCAGUUGUGCUAUUUCUCGAGUAGUGUGAAACGUAUCUCGGAAAACUGUUGAUAAAGGCUUUAAUUUCAGCAAGUUUCUCAGGAGAUGUAGCAUUCUUUCCACCUGAUUUUUGGCCUCUUUGAUCAUUGACAGGUUCCUGGUUUUUAAAUUUUUUCAGUGCAAAAUCAAUUCUUGUUUGGCUUAUUCCAAAAGUAUUAAGAAAGGUCUUUUUACACACAGUUUUUCCAUUGACACGAUAAUAUCUUGUAAAGCUUCGUUUUGAAUUAGCAGUAUAACUUCUUUUAGUUUCCGUUUCUGUAACACAUCCUUGUAAGAUUGCACACCUAGCACCAUAGUUUCCACACAUCCAAAAUAUGUCAAAUUCUUUCUUGCGUUCUUCUGCUGUCACUUUAUCUGUGCAUUUUUUUGGACACUUACAAUCAAAAGAAUCACCAGAAAAUAUUUUUCUAGUCACUUCUUUUCCCUUCACGCUUAUGUAGUCUUCGUUACAGUUAGUCUUUUUUUUACGAAUAUCUCUGUUUUGUUCAGGGUAUUUCCUUUUUCUUCCUCGUUUUGGUCUACCUUGGUUUUGCUCAUCAUUAGCGUCAUUACUUGAAAUAGGUAUAUAGUCCGGAUCGCUGCACUCAUGUCGUUCACAUGCUGGAGGUAAGUUAUUAAUUGGCUCAUGACUAGUAGAUGAUGUUUCUCCAAUGAUUGGUGAUGCUUCUCUUGUGACUGACAAAUCAGAAGAAUGUGUAAUUCUUGGAGAUGGAGCACUGAAUUGGGGCGUAUCAGAGGCUUGGGUAGUUAUUAGAGUUGAAGCUAUGCUAGUCUGAGGCAAACCCGAUGAUUGUUGGCUGCUUGGAUUUUGGGGCGAUGAAAUAAUAUUCUGGAGCACGUUUGUAGAUUGAAUAUUUUCAGGAGACGUGUUACAUUGAAUUAUUUCAGGUUGUGUUAUGGUUGUAGCAGAUUCAAAGGGUGAUAGUCCGAUUCGUGGCGAUAGAUUGUUCUUUCCGAACAUAUCUUCGCAUUGUUCCAUGUAAGGAAUUCUAGCGUUUGCUUCAAGCAAAAUAUCGGAUGGUGAUACGUUAGCAUCUUCAAUAGAAUUUACAUUCACAGUAAGAUCCCUGUGAUGAUCGUAAUACGGUACGCUGGCUGUUAUGGAAUUAACUGCAUCUAACAACUCUUUGUCAUCUAUUGGUAGAAUUAUGUCCAUUGUUUUGGUUGCAGAAUUAAGGUUAUCAAUUGGCUCAUGACUAGUAGAUGAUGUUUGUCCAAUGAUUGGUGAUGCUUCUCUUGUGAUUGACAAAUCAGAUGAAUGUGUAAUUCUUGGAGAUGGAGCACUGAAUUGGGGCGUAUCAGAGGCUUGGGUAGUUAUUAGAGUUGAAGCUGUGCUAGUCUGAGGCAAACCCGAUGAUUGUUGGCUGCUUGGAUUUUGGGGCGAUGAAAUAAUAUUCUGGAGCACGUGUGUAGAUUGAAUAUUCUCAGGAGGCAUGUUAUUUUGAAUUAUUUCAGGUUGUGUUGUGGUUGUAGCAGAUUCAACGGGUGAUUGUGCGAUUCGUGGCGAUAGAUUGUUCUUUCCGAACAUAUCUUCGCAUUGUUCCAUGGAAGGAGUUCUAGCGUUUUCUUCAAGCAAAAUAUCGGAUGGUAAUACGUUAGCAUUGUAACGGUUAGCGUUACCGCUGACCUUUAUCUUAGAACUAAAUUCUAAUUUAAUUACUAUUAUCUACCUAAAUAAAUAUACUUAAAUAAUAAAAUAUCUAAAUCUACGUAAACUACCUAACUAAAUAACUUAAUUAAAUAAUUCAUAUUGUUCUACACUAAUAAAAUAAAUAAAAUAAUAAAUCUACAAGCAAACCCGCGCGAAACAAGUCGUUCGAGAUUUCUUUUGUUCUCUGUCGAGCGGGCGGACUGUUUUUUAUGUAUGCGCAAGCGACGCGCCUACGGCCGCGAUGCUCCCGCCGCGUCUCCUAGUCCGAGCCAGAGCGUUAAUGAGCACGGACGUAUCGCUGUCCGUCACCGCCGGACCCGCGAUGUACGUAACCUUAUAAAACUACAAAUAUGUAAUCGCGUACUGGUGAACCCCGCUACCGGGGUUCAUCCUCACCUUCAUCUUCACUACAACUACCUGCCAUGCAUGGCCAGCGGCUCCUCAACCCGGCGGAGCUGCCUGCCGUGUCGGACGGCCCGUGCGCACAUUCUAAGUGGCCCUACACCACAGUGCGUACGGCCCUAACCGUCUGGCGCGUCGACGACUCUGCGGGCCUACCAUCAAGAAGAACCAACCCACAUCACCAUCAAUACUAGCGAGGACAGUGGUUUGAAUAUACUACCACCGGUGACGAAUCUCGUGCGAUACGAUAGUUUGCUCGUAACUCACACCCUUAAGGUCUCUUGCUCUAAAUUAUAAUAAAUGACUUGUUAACUUAAA